AUUGAACGCUGGCGGCAGGCCUAACACAUGCAAGUCGAGCGAGCGGCGGACGGGGGAGUAAUGUAUGGGGACUGCCCGAUAGAGGGGGAUAACUACAGGAAACGGUGGCUAAUACCGCAUACUGUGGGAUAACCCAAAUGGGAUUAGCUAGUAGGUAAGGGAAUGGCUUACCUAGGCGACGCUCACUAGCUUGUCUGAGAGGAUGAUCAGCCACACUGGGACUGAGACACGGCCCAGAUUCCUACGGAGGCAGCAGUGGGGAAUAUUUCGCAAUGGGCGCAAGCCUGAUGCAGCCGUUCCGCGUGUAUGAAGAAGGCCCUAGGGUUGUAAAGUCCUUUCAGUCGGGAGGCGUUACCGACAGAAGAAGCACCGGCUAACUCCGUGCCAGCAGCCGCGGUAAUAC
rnacentral:rRNA from 1 species